rnacentral:sRNA from 2 species
AUUUAAACCCGAUUGAAAUGAAAAGCCCGCAAUCCCGAUUUUUCAUCGGGAGAGGACUUGUAAUGAAAAGCGGGGCCAACC